AAGAUUUAAAGAUAAUGAUUUUGGUCUGCUAAACCAUAAAUCCUGUGGUUUAACUCCAUAGAAAUCUUG
rnacentral:tRNA from 1 species